GAUGAAGAACGUAGUGAAAUGCGAUAAGUAAUGUGAAUUGCAGAAUUCAGUGAAUCAUCGAAACUUUGAACGCACAUUGCGCCCGCCAGUAUUCUGGCGGGCAUGCCUGUUCGAGCGUCAUUUCAACCCUCAAGACCCCUUCGGGGGACUUGGUGUUGGGGACCGGCACAGGGGCCUGCCUGCUUGUCUUGCAGCGCCCUCGCCGCCCCCGAAAUGAAUUGGCGGCCUCGUCGCGGCCUCCCCUGCGUAGUAGCACAACCUCGCAACGGGAACGUGACGGCGGCCACUGCCGUAAAACAACCCCAAUUUUAUUAGAGUUGACCUCGAAUCAGGUAGGAAUACCCGCUGAACUUAAGCAUAUCAAUAAGCGGAGGA
rnacentral:misc_RNA from 1 species